GGAAGAUAGGUAGCGAAAGAGCGGGCCCGCGCGCGAGGCUCGCGCCCUCUUCAAAAUAAAUGAAUCCCAACGGCCAUCUGGGAAGGAGAUGGAGGAAGAUAACAAUGGCUCGUCGGCCCAGACGUCUUUGCCCAAAAGGCGGGGCUGCCGUGGUGUAAUAAUAGUAAGAGCGGAAUGGACGAAGGAAGCGAGGCAUCCAAUGGAGUCGGAGUCUCGAGCCCUGCGUCAGAUGGAAAAAAAGCAUCUCAGCUUAAAAGCGUUCGCAGGAGAAGCUGAACCCCGGUUUACUCAAUUAAUCCAGUUUCCUGUGGCAGUCUCCGCAAGCCUUAUGCUAAUCCCUUGAGCCGCUCGGUCCACUCCACGCAAGAGGUGAAAAGGAAGAGAAAGCAGCCAAAAGGGAAAGAAAGUCUGAAAAAAGUCCUCUUUUCACCUCGGUCUAUGUACCAGAGCCAGCUGGCUGCAAACUCUCCAUUCAGGGAAUUUCAAAACAUUUUCCCUCCUCUCUUGGGGCUCCUGCACAGACAGCAGCCCAGGAGGUGGUAGUUACUAACAAUAGACCACUCAUGUUGCAGAAAAACACGCAGAUGCAGCCCCCCACGUGCUGAAGGCCUUUUAUGGAAAAAAAUGUUCCUGGUCAUGCAUAUUAAUAAUGGUGGCCGCCUAGAAAGAUUUCCUAAAAUAAAGACAUUUGACUACAUUAAAGGCAGCCGGCCCUUGACAGCUUCUUGAAUGGAUGCCAUUUGAGGAGGCGUGCUGCUGCAUCUUAGAUUCUUUCAACUUGUCAUUUAGCACAAAAACAAACAUUGGUCAUUAAGUGAGGGGUUGAAACGACAUGUUUACAGUGGUGAUCCUGGAAUAAUCAUUAAGAGGAGAGAGAGAGAGAGAGGUGAAAGGAUUAGAGCGCACGACAGGGAGACCACAGAAGUUUAUAGGCUUCCCAAGAAAUUGGGGGGGUGGGAGGCUGAGCAUUAAAAAUGCAAAACAGCCAUACUUGAUCUAGGUUACAUUGGAAUACUUUUUUCCCCAGAGAUAUUCCUCAGAAAUAUGGAGUAAUUUUUAUUAUUUCAUUUUUAUAACCGAAAGCCAGUCUAGGGGAGGAAAAAUAAUGAUUGCUUUUCCAUGCUGGGUCCAUUUUACCUGCUAUAUAGACAAAGAUGUCUGUAGGUUGUUAAAAAAAAGGCAAUAUGGCUACAAGUUAACCAAAUCUGUGUACAAGCAACACACAAAAAACACAUUGGUUGCCCAAUCAUGCUACCAUUGACUUGGUUCCACCUUGUUAG